rnacentral:rRNA from 1 species
AUUGAACGCUGGCGGCGUGCCUAACACAUGCAAGUCGAGCGGUAACAGGUGUAGCAAUACAUGCUGACGAGCGGCGGACGGGUGAGUAACGGCUUGGGAAUCUGCCUAUUAGUGGGGGACAACCCGGGGAAACUCGGGCUAAUACCGCAUACGCACUACGGUGGAAAGCCGGGGACCGCAAGGCCUGGCGCUAACAGAUGAGCCCAAGUCGGAUUAGCUAGUUGGUAGGGUAACGGCCUACCAAGGCGACGAUCCGUAACUGGUCUGAGAGGACGACCAGUCACACCGGAACUGAGACACGGUCCGGACUCCUACGGGAGGCAGCAGUGGGGAAUAUUGGACAAUGGGCGAAAGCCUGAUCCAGCGACGCCGCGUGGGUGAAGAAGGCCUGCGGGUUGUAAAGCCCUUUCAGUGGGGAAGAAAAGCCUCGAGCUAACACCUCGGGGUCUUGACGUAACCCAUAGAAGAAGCACCGGCUAACUCUGUGCCAGCCGCCGCGGU